CCUUUUGUUGAGCCUGGUGAUAUGUGCCUGGGAAACUCACUGGCUGUAUGACUCGUUCAUCUUGGCUAAAGACUCAUGUCCUUUUGUAGCUGUUUGAUCCCUUCUGCAAAGAGGAAAAAAAUCAAAAGCAAAAUAACCCACAUCCACCAACCAUUCUGCAGUGGAUCUGCCAACAAUGGAGAACUUGUUCCUGAAAACCCCGUCCAUGAGACACUCAGCUCUGCUUUUUCUCUCCUUCAGCUGAGAGCGGCCUGUGGUGUCCAGCCAUUGCAAGCUGGCAUCUGCACAAGAAUGUCUCAUGGCACUGUGCAUGUUCAGAGGAGAAUCACCUGAUGGCUGCUUCCAUCUCCUGCAGUUGAACUCUGUCCUUAUUUGAGCACUGUUAUCAUUAUGUAGAACUGCACGAGAAGAAACUGAAGUCAGAAAAUCUUGAAGUGGAACUGAGAUUCAUUUUUUUAAGUAGUGAUAAUUAAUAAUGUUCUGCAUAGUAAAUUUGCUUUCAUUUGUCUUUGUGUUCAGAUUAGAUGCCUUUUUACAAUGAACAACGUCCUUCAUAAACUGGCAGAUUAAAUUCAGGAAACUUUGGAUGAAAUUCUGUGGCUUACAUCAUGCAAGAAUUUCUUCUAAUUAAAUAGCUGAUGUGAAUUAA